AUUUGAUUAUGUGGACAUUGUAUUUGUAACUCCCCAAAUCUUUUCCAAGCUUCAAAAAAUUCUUCCGUGUGUUUUUGUCUAAAAGUGAAUUUUGUUUCUUAACUC
rnacentral:snoRNA from 1 species